GCGGUGGAUGAUGUGGUUUAAUUCGAUGCAACGCGAAAACCUUACCCACCUUUGACAUGGCAGGAAUCCUGAAGAGAUUGGGAGUGCUCGAAAGAGAACCUGCACACAGGUGCUGCAUGGCUGUCGUCAGCUCGUGUCGUGAGAUGUUGGGUUAAGUCCCGCAACGAGCGCAACCCUUGCCAUUAGUUGCUACGAAAGGGCACUCUAAUGGGACUGCCGGUGACAAACCGGAGGAAGGUGGGGAUGACGUCAAGUCCUCAUGGCCCUUAUAGGUGGGGCUACACACGUCAUACAAUGGCCGGUACAGAGGGUAGCCAACCCGCGAGGGGGAGCCAAUCCCACAAAGCCGGUCGUAGUCCGGAUCGCAGUCUGCAACUCGACUGCGUGAAGUCGGAAUCGCUAGUAAUCGCGGAUCAGCAUGUCGCGGUGAAUACGUUCCCGGGUCUU
rnacentral:rRNA from 1 species